AUACGGAGGAUGCGAGCGUUAUCCGGAUUUAUUGGGUUUAAAGGGUGCGUAGGCGGUUUUUUAAGUCAGCGGUGAAACGCAAGGGCUCAACCCUUGACCUGCCGUUGAAACUGGAGGACUUGAAUGCGGAUGCUGUGGGAGGAAUGUGUGGUGUAGCGGUGAAAUGCAUAGAUAUCACACAGAACACCGAUUGCGAAGGCAUCUCACAAAUCCGUGAUUGACGCUGAGGCACGAAAGUGUGGGGAUCAAACAGGAUUAGAUACCCUGGUAGUCCACACUGUAAACGAUGAUGACUCGCUGUCGGCGAUAUACAGUCGGUGGCCAAGCGAAAGCGAUAAGUCAUCCACCUGGGGAGUACGACCACAAGGUUGAAACUUAAAGGAAUUGACGGGG
rnacentral:rRNA from 1 species